rnacentral:rRNA from 1 species
GCGGAGGAAAAGAAACCAACUGGGAUUACCUUAGUAACGGCGAGUGAAGCGGUAAAAGCUCAAAUUUGAAAUCUGGUACUUUCAGUGCCCGAGUUGUAAUUUGUAGAAUUUGUCUUUGAUUAGGUCCUUGUCUAUGUUCCUUGGAACAGGACGUCAUAGAGGGUGAGAAUCCCGUUUGGCGAGGAUACCUUUUCUCUGUAAGACUUUUUCGAAGAGUCGAGUUGUUUGGGAAUGCAGCUCAAAGUGGGUGGUAAAUUCCAUCUAAAGCUAAAUAUUGGCGAGAGACCGAUAGCGAACAAGUACAGUGAUGGAAAGAUGAAAAGAACUUUGAAAAGAGAGUGAAAAAGUACGUGAAAUUGUUGAAAGGGAAGGGCAUUUGAUCAGACAUGGUGUUUUUUGCAUGCACUCGCCUCUCGUGGGCUUGGGCCUCUCAAAAAUUUCACUGGGCCAACAUCAAUUCUGGCAGCAGGAUAAAUCAUUAAGAACGUAGCUACCUCGGUAGUGUUAUAGCUUUUUGGAAUACUGCUAGCUGGGAUUGAGGACUGCGCUUCGGCAAGGAUGUUGGCAUAAUGGUUAAAUGCCGCCCGUCUUG